AGACCCGAAACCCGGUGAUCUAGCCAUGGGCAGGUUGAAGGUUGGGUAACACUAACUGGAGGACCGAACCGACUAAUGUUGAAAAAUUAGCGGAUGACCUGUGGCUGGGGGUGAAAGGCCAAUCAAACCGGGAGAUAGCUGGUUCUCCCCGAAAGCUAUUUAGGUAGCGCCUCGUGAAUUCAUCUCCGGGGGUAGAGCACUGUUUCGGCUAGGGGGCCAUCCCGGCUUACCAACCCGAUGCAAACUGCGAAUACCGGAGAAUGUUAUCACGGGAGACACACGGCGGGUGCUAACGUCCGUCGUGAAGAGGGAAACAACCCAGACCGCCAGCUAAGGUCCCAAAGUCAUGGUUAAGUGGGAAACGAUGUGGGAAGGCCCAGACAGCCAG
rnacentral:rRNA from 1 species